rnacentral:tRNA from 1 species
GGGCGUUUGGCAGAACGGUUAUGCGCCUGACUUUUAAUCAGGUUAAAACAGGUUCAACUCCUGUAGCGCCCA